UAAAAGCGAUUCAGCGUCAGCGAGAGUUUCGAACUAAACCAAUUUUAAAAGCGAAGGGACAACGGCAAAAUAUGUAGGCUUGUCUCGUUAUGUAGAUCUCUGAGGGGCAGCCAAUAUCAUUAAUGUGGCAUUCACUGUCAAAGAACCAGGUCAAGAUUACAAAUUCCUCCUGUUUGAAACGUAUGAAAUGCUAUAACCAUGUGGCAGAAAAGAAGUUCAAUUCUCGUCAAUUAAUAUUCUCGUAUUGCUAUGGGAUCAGCCAACCAUUUAGCAAGUCAUACAUCUCGUUUUGCAAGCAAUAUAGGGAAUUUGAAUACAACGAACAAAACAACACAAACCUUUCUACAAAAUAUUGG